rnacentral:rRNA from 1 species
GACGAACGCUGGCGGCGUGCCUAAUACAUGCAAGUUGAGCGCUGAAGGUUGCUACUUGUACCGACUGGAUGAGCAGCGAACGGGUGAGUAACGCGUGGGGAAUCUGCCUUUGAGCGGGGGACAACAUUUGGAAACGAAUGCUAAUACCGCAUAAAAACUUUAAACACAAGUUUUAAGUUUGAAAGAUGCAAUUGCAUCACUCAAAGAUGAUCCCGCGUUGUAUUAGCUAGUUGGUGAGGUAAAGGCUCACCAAGGCGAUGAUACAUAGCCGACCUGAGAGGGUGAUCGGCCACAUUGGGACUGAGACACGGCCCAAACUCCUACGGGAGGCAGCAGUAGGGAAUCUUCGGCAAUGGACGAAAGUCUGACCGAGCAACGCCGCGUGAGUGAAGAAGGUUUUCGGAUCGUAAAACUCUGUUGGUAGAGAAGAACGUUGGUGAGAGUGGAAAGCUCAUCAAGUGACGGUAACUACCCAGAAAGGGACGGCUAACUACGUG